GUUUCAUUCGCAAAACAUUCAGCCGCAGUUUCUCACCAACACAGGCUCAACAAUCUCUGAACAUUGAGCCAUUACUUUCACGUUAAGGCAUUGAAGCCUUA
rnacentral:lncRNA from 1 species